rnacentral:rRNA from 1 species
UACGGAAGGUUCGGGCGUUAUCCGGAUUUAUUGGGUUUAAAGGGAGCAUAGGCCGUUUGGUAAGCGUGUUGUGAAAUGUAGGAGCUCAACUUCUAGAUUGCAGCGCGAACUGUCAGACUUGAGUGCGCACAACGUAGGCGGAAUUCAUGGUGUAGCGGUGAAAUGCUUAGAUAUCAUGAAGAACUCCGAUUGCGAAGGCAGCUUACGGGAGCGCAACUGACGCUGAAGCUCGAAGGUGCGGGUAUCGAACAGG